rnacentral:Y_RNA from 1 species
GGCUGGUCUGAUGGUAGUGGGUUAUCAGAACUCAUUAACAUUAGUGUCACUAAAGUUGGUAUUCAACCCCCCACUGCUAAAUUUGACUGGCUUUAA